GGGCCCGUAGUUUAAUCGGAUAGAACGGGAGCUUGCGGAGCUCCUGGUCUGGGUUCGAAUCCCAGCGGGCCCA
rnacentral:tRNA from 1 species